CAGUUUCUGAGGCAGAGAAGGAGGGUCUGAAUUAGGAUGUGAGCCAUCAGGCAGUUGCUGUCUGCAGUGGCCCUGCCCUGAAGACACAGGGGUGCCACGCAGAGCACACGUGGUGUGAGCGUUCACUGCGGGAGCCAUGUUCCAUCCGGUCAGACACCCAGGCGGCCCACAGGCCCAGCCCCCGAGCCGUGGGCUUGCAAUCCCCUCGCAGAACAGCCACUGACCCCGAGCAGAAGUGAGAAGGAAGUACCCCCUCAGCCCCAGGCUGUGGAGGGGGCCUGGCUGUCCACCAGGGCCUGCGGGUGUCCUGGCAGAGACAGGAGGUAGCACAGGCCCCAGGCACUAGGGUGCCAGAGCCUCCCGAGAAGGAACAGGUGCGAAGCAGGCAAUUAGCUGGGAAGGCGUCCGGGGGGCAGGCGGCCUAGAGCUGAUUGGGGAAGUCACCAGGAUUACAUCAUCGACCGUAACACCGACUCUGAAAAGAAGCUAUUUUUCACCCUGGACUUGAAGUAACUGGUGGAGAGGCAGUCCUAACAGGUGAUUUAGAAGUUGCUGGAAAGGGGAAAAUCAGAAACAUGCAAUCAGGGAUGUGGCUGAAGCAGAUGAAGGGAAGCGAUGAAGCUGUCAACAGCCUACCUAGGACCUAAAUGGUCACAUUCCUGAAUUUCUGUUUGGAAAGUGGGGGCUUCCCAAGCCUGAAGCCAGCUGAUGUCUUAGGUACACUUCAGCUUUUUCUACAGCACCCCAGUCUCAGCAUUCUUUGGUGCAUGUCCUGACUGGCUAGGAGAUGGCUGCUUCCUGACACAGUGAUGACUUCUGAAAGAUGGGGUAAUAACAACAGG